UGCCUUCUCGUCCAACCCCGCCGCCGGCGUCUGCAUUUCACUGUCGCCGGAUCCCUCACUGGUUCAGUACGUUGCAAUUAUGUUUUGGUCUAUAGAUCUUGUUUUUUUCUUUCAGUUACGAUAGAGGUUCAGGGAACAUGGCUGAGGGCAUGGUCGUUGUUUCAGCGAGCACAUCAGCGGAGAUGUGCUUCCUGUUUGAAGUUGAGCACUGCUGGUUGCAUGCAGAGAUGAGAUGAGAUGUUGCAUCUGAACCCCUUCCGUUACAGCUCAUUUCACACUUGGCAUGAGAUUGAGAUCCAUCACAAGCUUUUUGGGAUUAUGAAAGCCCAUAAAGAAAAUCUGCCGAAUGAAGUAAUGCGUGGAGAAGUGAAAUACAAGUAUCUGCAUGCAUGAAGUAUUUUAUCUAGAUUAUAAUUUAUAAAAUUUAGGGCAGUAUAUAUGUAAGACCUUCAUAUGGUAUAUGGAUGAUUCUUUUUGAAAUGAUUUUAUAUGGGUGAUUGAUAUUAAAUGAAUACUUGCUCAGGCCAGGCAAUGUUUUCCUGGUGUG